GUGUUGCUGCAAACUGACACCAGCACCUGGGCCCAGACAUCAGUGGUUCCCAGCGGAGGCAGAGUGAUAUUCAGGCCUUUCCCUUACAGAAGCCAGGGGCGGCGAUGCAGUCUCUACCCAUACUGCUAAAGUGAAUGGCAAGGAGAGAUGGGCGGAUUUCAAGUGCCAGCUGAAGGGGAAGAUGGGUGCACACUGGCGACAUGCGAGGGGGACAGGUGGUGGGCGCUUACAUCAGACUUUGGAAUACACCCCAUUGGAGAAGAUGGCAUUGGGGUGUGUUGCCAAAGAGGAGGUGACAGUCAUGUCUGAUAUGGACACGGACAUGCCUGCCAUUGAGGCCCUGCAAGCUGACCGAGAUGAGGAGGAACAGCUCACGCAGGCUGGGGAGGGGGACUGAACCACACUCUAUGGAGGAUGCCCCAAAGUCACCAGCAACCCCCCUUCCCCCCCAAGCAACCAGGAGCUUCUCAUAGACAUAAGGUGAGAGGACGGAACACUUUCAAGAACAGGUGCUCCUGGAGCUGCAUGAGUUGACCUCUACAAUCAGUCAAGGCAUGCGAGAGAUAGCCUUCUUUGGGCCAAAGUCUGAGGCCAACAACCUUGUCUGCAACAUCCCCAGCCCUAAAGAAACUAAAAGGUUUGUUGGCGCUGUGCAGGGCGGUGUAGAUUGACACCUGUGGAUCAGCAGCCACCUGGUGAGGGGGCAGCCAACCUCCUAAAAAAAAAACACUAGUGAAUUACCGUAUAUACUCGAGUAUAAGUCGACCCGAAUAUAAGCCGAGGCACCUAAUUUUACCACAAAAACCUGGGAAAACUCAUUGACUCGAGUAUAAGCCUAGGGUGGGAAAUGCAGCUCUAGCCGUACACAGCUCUCAUACUGCCAGAUAUGCCCUCAUACUGCCAGAUGUGCCCCACAGUGCCAGAUAUGCCCUCAUGCUGCCAGAUAUGCCCCACAGUGCCAGAUAUGCCCCACAGUGCCAGAUAUGCCCUCAUGCUGCCAGAUAUGCCCCACAGUGCCAGAUGUGCCCUCAUGCUGCCAGAUAUGCCAGAUAUGCCCCACAGUGCCAGAUGUGCCCUCAUGCUGCCAGAUAUGCCCCACAGUGCCAGAUGUGCCCUCAUGCUGCCAGAUAUGUCAGAUAUGCCCCACAGUGCCAGGUGUGCCAUCAUGCUGCCAGAUAUGCCCCACAGUGCCAGAUGUGCCCUCAUGCUGCCAGAUAUGUUAGAUAUGCCCCACAGUGCCAGAUGUGCCCUCAUGCUGCCAGAUAUGCCCCACAGUGCCAGGUGUGCCCUCAUGCUGCCAGAUAUGCCCCACAGUGCCAGGAAGGGUACUUACCCUCCAUCGUUCCCGCGUUGUCUUCUGAAGGAGGGACA